rnacentral:lncRNA from 1 species
UCCACAUACCAACCAGUGAAGUUUUUUAAAGAAUACAGUUCUUUCAGAACAAAAAUGACACAAUAGAGAAAAGAGAAAUGGAUCCUAUUUUGACUCUGGCAAAGGCUUAAAAGUACUGGUGAAUUUGGAACAAUGAAUGCCCAGGUGCCAAGAAGAGGAAAAGAUCAUGAAAAAGUGGUUGGAAUGGAACAGAGAGGAUAUUAUAGAACAGAGAUGAUGUUAUAAGCAUCAGUGUUUGAUAUUAAUAAACAUUUUAAUCACUGACAUAGAUGAAAUAAUAGAUUCCAUAUGAAAUUUGCAAAUAAUUUGUUUUAGCUAUAAUUUUCCCAAACCUAGUACUAUGGAAAAUAUAUUUUUGAAUGUUUUAAAUGAAUAUUAUUUUAGAUAUAUCUGUAUCUAUCUCUUUCGAUCUAUAUGACUGUCCAUCUAAAUUUAACUGUUGGCAAAUAAGUAUGCGAUGGCUUCCUUUCUUAGCUAUAGAUGUUAGACAACCUAUAUAGAUGUUAGACAACCUAUCUAUAUAGAAGGUUCAUUAGAAAUCACUUUGUUGGGUGUCAUCAUUUACCUGAAUUUGUCUGGUAUUGUGAAUAUGACAACUUUUGGAGCAUCAUUGCCAUUGCUAACAGCAGGCAAUCUGGUUCAGCCUUUUGAGUCUGGGGUGAAUGAGUCACAGUGGGAAAGUGGAUGAUGCACUUCAGGGGCUGUUAUUUUUUUGGCUGCUGAGUACCAUUAUUAUGGUGAUAUGUUCAGUUGGUGUUCAGGGAGGGUUAGGACCUCUACUGUGAGAGCUUGCUGAAUGCUUUUCAGGGCUGCUUAUUCCCGUUUGGUGUCUACCUCUUUCCCAGCUCUUACCUGUGGCUCCAAGCUAUAGUUUUCAGCAGCAGCCUGUUAAAACUGUCCAGGCAGAUGGGUUGAGCUUGGGUUUAUGUCUAACUCUAGGCUUGUGAAGACCUCUCCUGCCAGAACAGAUGGAUGAGACAAAAUUUGUUUCAGUAGCCAUGAAGGUGGCUGAAGCAAACACUUUCGAGUGCUUAAAACUUGGAUGGCUAUUAGAGACACUGACAUCAUUCGGCAAUGUCCAAGGAUACAAUUGGCGGAGUUUCUUUUGUUUUAAAAAACAUGAUAAACAAGUACAGAAUGUGCGCAAGCAGGAAGAAACUGACCUAAAGGUAAAUUUUCAUUAUGUGAAAUUUGUCAUUAAGAUUUAUGUGCGUAUCUCCAUUUUAAUUACUAGGGAAUGAGCUUUUAAAAUAAUCUCUAAGACCCUUUCGCAGUUUUCACUGUCAAGGGUUAUAUUAGCAUAGGCCAAUCUAAGCUUUUAAAUAUUGUCUCUCUUGAUCUCUAGCUAUUUGAUGACGCCUCUGCUUCUUUUAUACCCCAAAGCUGCUGGUGUCUGACUGGACAGAAACUCAAGUUGGCCAUUGGUUAAAGAGUAUUGGAAUGAAAAAAUAUAUCCUGAAAUUUGAUUAUAAAAGAGUAAGCAGUCAAGAACUUCUUGAAUUAGACAAUGAUGCAUUAAAAGUAAGCUUCAGAAUUGGCUUUUUAUAUAUGCUACAUACAAUUAUAUAUUAACUUAUUUUAUGGUGGGCAUUGGAUGAAAAACAGUACAAAUAAUGGGAUUCCUAUAUAUGGCCUAUUUGACAACCUUAUGGUUUUAAGGAAAACAUGUUAACUACUUUUUUGAAUGUAGUUUCAAGAAAUGUUUUUAAUGUGAUUUGCUC